rnacentral:rRNA from 1 species
CACUAUGCCUAGCCUUAAACAUUGAUGGUCCGCUACCUAAGCCAUCCGCCCGGGAACUACGAGCAUUAGCUUAAAACCCAAAGGACUUGGCGGUGCUUUAGAUCCACCUAGAGGAGCCUGUUCUAGAACCGAUAACCCCCGUUCAACCUCACCUUUCCUUGUUCAACCCGCCUAUAUACCACCGUCGUCAGCUUAUCCUGUGAAGGCCUAUUAAUAAGCAAAAUUGGCAAAGCCUAAAACGUCAGGUCGAGGUGUAGCGUACGGAAAGGGAAGCAAUGGGCUACAUUCCCUACAUUAGGUAACUACGGACGAUGAAUUGAAAAAUUUAUCCGAAGGAGGAUUUAGUAGUAAGAGAAGAAUAGAGAGCUUCUCUGAAACCGGCCCUGAAGCGCGCACACACCGCCCGUCACUCUCCCCAAGCUCCAUAAAACCCAUAACUAAUUAACCAAUUUUGCUAAGGGGAGGCAAGUCGUAA